rnacentral:rRNA from 1 species
GACGAACCGAGCGAACGUUGUUCGGAAUCACUGGGCUUAAAGGGCGCGUAGGCGGGUGCUCAAGUCCGUGGUGAAAUCCUCCGGCUCAACCGGAGAACUGCCUCGGAUACUGGGUGCCUCGAGGGUGGUAGGGGUAUGCGGAACUAUCGGUGGAGCGGUGAAAUGCGUUGAUAUCGAUAGGAACUCCGGUGGCGAAGGCGGCAUACUGGACCACCUCUGACGCUGAGGCGCGAAA